UUUUUUCUUUUUCUUUUUCUUUUGAGGGAGUGGGAGAGUGGGGUGCAUGGGAUCGCGAGGUCUACGCGGUGGGUGGAGUGCGUGAGGGAGAGGGGGUAGCGGCGGCGGUGGGGCGGCUAGGGUAGGGAGGGCUAAGUCUAGGUAAGAGGGGCUAAGUCUAGGCUGGGGCGGCGGGCGCGGGCGCGCGGUGGUAAGCGAGGAGGAGCGGAGGACCUCCUGCAGACGGCGAGAAGGAGGCGGGCAGGGCCUCCGGAGCCAGCCGCGGGAGGCGGCGUCCCGGCGGCGCGAGCAGGGCGGGAGCCGCGGUGUGGAGGAAAAGGAGUACCGGAGCCUGGAGGGGCUAGGCACAAGGAGCGUGCGAGUGGUGAAGCGGAGACAGAGGGUGGUACGGCGUGCGGGGUGCGGCUUUUUCCCGUCCGCUCGGUGGAGGCGGAAGGGGAGCGGGGGCGCGACCAGGGUGGCGGCUCGGGUCAAGGGGAGUGCAGAGGCAGGUCCGCGGCAGCGGUAGUUAGCUAGAGGGCUCGUUCGCUGGAGGGAGGGGCUAGAUGAGCAACCGAUACUGACUGCUCGGCCUCCCCGCUCCCCUCCCCCUCGCACCUGCGGUUGACCGCGGGGUGGGUUCUGAGUCUAGGGCGGUGGCGCCGGCGGCCUCCGCCCCAACUGGGCUUGCGUGGUCGCGGGGUGGCGGCCUCCACUGACCGCGAGGCCCGAGGUAGGGCUGCGGGCGCGAUCCUAGCAGUCAUUCUAUAGGUUAGCGUGAGGAGUAGGUCGAGGUACAGAGGACCACGCCGCCGUGUCACCCUCCUACACUUGCGCGGUGGCGGGUCCCCACCACCACCACCACUGGACGGACGAGCAGGGAGCAGGAAUAGUGGCCGGAGAGGCUCCAGCGACGAUCCCGUUAGAGGUACCCGGGAACUCCUACCUCAUCCUCCUACUCGUCGUCGUUUACUCGGACUACCACUUCUUCGUGGACUACUGGUCUUGAGCAAGUUCUCGAGAAAACAGGAAGGUUUUGUCCCUACGACGCGAGCGAUGAAUGUACAAAAGACUACGGCGUUGUUUCCUGAUAUACACCAAAGAAGUCACCCUGACAACGACAGCGAGGAGUACAAGUUAUUGUAAAGUCGUAACCUGGACGAUCAGUGGGUUCGGUUCGGAGCGUAGCGAAGUUAUUUCGCUAUGAAGAAGGUUAGUUGGGGAUGAAGCCGAGACGAGAAAAAAGGUAGAAGAGAAUAAAUUCGAUUCUUUCUAAGACUCAAACGUAGGUAGAGUAAUGUGAUCGAUCGUGUUAUAUAAUCAAUUACGUUGAGAUGAUGUAUAGUUAAAGGGGAUGAUCUAACCAAGAUAUAAAAAUUUCAACAAAGCACCACGUACUCGGGUUGGGCUUCUUUAUAUCCGAAUACUACUGAUAAAAGGAAGGAUUCAUUAGUAUCAACAACCGAAGCCAUCGAACGACUUAUACGAAAUCAAUAUAUAUCUUUACUGCACGGAAGAUACGAAUUUACUAACAAACCGAGAUAUAUUAACAACUGUACUUAUAGAACUGAAGGGUUUGUUCAUAUCCUGACAUGGAUACGUAUGUAUAAUAGGAUUGUUUUGAUUUUUAUUUUUAACUUCGUACUUUAUUCGUUAUUCACCGACUAAAAAUAAACGUACAAUUCGCCUUUCAACAUCUGUUCCGAAUAUAUAAUGCUUUAUAACAGUGUGGAGACUCGAAGAUGACAACAAUCCCUGUAGCAUCACACUAGAAGUACUAAAAAGCGAACUUCUACAUGGCUAAGUAAUCAGUUCGUCUCUGGCUUCAGUAGAAAACGAUGACGAUCGAGAUACCUACAAAUAAAUGUACGUUGAAGACGGUCGAGAUUGAACCAAUAUAUCGUCAAGUUAAGUCAGUUAGACAACCUUGAUCAAACAGAUAAUGAACAUAGGUCUAAAAUAUAGGACGGGAUACGGUAACAGCUGAACGAAUCCAUGUAUUAACAAUAGAGAACGUUAGACCAUAACUACUAACAGUUACAUAAGUAAAUAUGGAAAGAUCACAUGGAACAUACACUGGGUCGACUAGACAUAUAGUUACGAGACAAAGGUUAUCUACAUACGACCACGGACUACCGACUAAGGAAUUUUGAAGUGACAACGUCAUCGUAAAAAGGAAUCACGUAUCUACAUACUCGCUAGUGAAUACGAACUUUGGAACGAGAGAAAGGGUCCUUGGUAGCACCAGACGCAGUGAUGACCCCGUCCUCUCCUUUCUGACAACCACAGAGGUCCUUCGCUAUUUGACGAAUUUUUCAAGGGCGUAUCGAAGUGAUGAUGACACAACCAGGUAAAGGUCUUAGUAUUCCUCACAAGAAAAAAUCUGCUAAUGGAACCUACUACGAAAACGAAUUUCUCUCCGAGUUCUUAUAGUCCCUCGAGGCGUAGGCUCAAAGUCGGUAGGAGAUGUCGUUCCUCGAGAUCCGGUUUCCUCGUUCGUCGCGACGAUCAAAGAACUCCGGUCUAGCUCAUUCUACCACGUGGUACCGCACACCACCGCAUAAAACGAAGGCUCUUGUCAUGACAAAUAAACUUCACUCUACAUGAGCAGAUCACGGAGCGUUUUUUUACUUCCUACUUCACAGUACAUGACAGAUACAACAUCACUCGAUAUCAUCCUCACUUUACUUUUACAUAGACGACAACAUACACGAUAAAACGAUAUUACAUAACACAUAUAAAAUGAACUUGUAAUUUAAGAGGUCUUUUUUACAAGAAUGACCUGGACUAUCACCGGUGCCGGGUUUAUAUGAACAUGAUAAUUCUACGGUACCGGGUUUUAUUGGACCC
rnacentral:rRNA from 1 species